rnacentral:rRNA from 1 species
UAGUUUUUUUAGAAAUAAAUUUAAUUUACAAAUUUUUAAUUUUUAAUUUAUUUUUUAAAUUUAAAAAUUUAUUAAUUUGAAUAUUUUAAGGGAUAAGCUUUAAAGUAAAAAGUUAAAAAUUGUUGAAUAGUUGAUUUAAAAUGUAUGUAUAGAAUUAGCAAUCAUUUGUAAGUUUUUUAUAAAUUAUUUUAUAAUUUAUAUUAUUUAAUUUGGUUUUCAUUGAAUUUAUAAAAAUUUUUUUAUUAAUUUUAAAUAAAAAGUAAUAAUGAUUAAAUUAGUAUAUUUAUGAUGUGUUGUUUAAAUAUUUUAUACUGAUAAGUUUAUGUAAAGAACUCGGCAAAUUUUGUACUCGCCUGUUUAACAAAAACAUGUCUUUUUGAUUUAUAUUUAAAGUCUGACCUGCCCACUGAAUAAUUUUAAAUGGCCGCAGUAUUUUGACUGUGCAAAGGUAGCAUAAUCAUUAGUCUUUUAAUUGGAGGCUGGUAUGAACGGUUGGACGAGGUAUAAGCUGUUUCAUUUAAAUUUAUAGUAGAAUUUUAUAUUUUAGUUAAAAAGCUAAAAUUUAGUUAAAAGACGAGAAGACCCUAUAAAUCUUUAUAAUUAGUUUUCAUUGAAUUUUUUUGAUUUGUUUUAUUUUUUUUUAACUAAUUAUUUUGUUGGGGUGAUGUUAAAAUUUAAUGAACUUUUAAUUUUUAAAAUCAUUAAUUUAUGAUUUAUUGAUCCGUUAAUAAUGAUUAUAAGAUUAAGUUACUUUAGGGAUAACAGCGUAAUUUUUUUUGAGAGUUCAUAUCGACAAAAAAGUUUGCGACCUCGAUGUUGGAUUAAGGUAUAAUUUUGGGUGUAGCUGUUCAAAAAUUAAGUCUGUUCGACUUUUA